rnacentral:rRNA from 1 species
GACAGAGGGUGCGAGCGUUGUCCGGAGUUACUGGGCGUAAAGCGCACGCAGGCGGCUGGCCAAGUCUGGGGUUAAAGCCCCCGGCUUAACUGUGGGGGGCCCUUGGAGACUGGCCGGCUGGAGUUGGGCAGGGGCUGCGGGAAUUGCCGGUGUAGCGGUGAAAUGCGUAGAGAUCGGGAAGAAGACCUAAGGCGAAAGCGGGGGGCUGGGCGCUAACUGACGCUGAGGUGCGACAGCUUGGGGAGCGAAUGGG